rnacentral:rRNA from 1 species
UACGUAGGGGGCGAGCGUUGUCCGAAGUUACUGGGCGUAAAGCGCACGUAGGCGGUUAUCUAAGUCUGGGGUGAAAGGUUCAGUGCUUAACGCGAACAGUGCCUUGGAGACUGGAUGACUUGAGUUUGGGAGAGGGUAGUGGAAUGGCUGGUGUAGCGGUGAAAUGCGUAGAUAUCAGUCGGAACACCGGUGGCGAAGGCGGGUCUCUGGGCCGAUACUGACGCUGAGGCACGAAAGCGUGGGGAGCAAACAGG